GGCGGGGCGUGACCCGGAAGCCGACGGCGGGUUCUGCCCCUCGCGCCUGGGGAGGCUGGGUAGGAACGGCCCAAGGAGCAUCUACCGCCCUUCGCUCCCUCGCCGACAUCAUGCUCCAAUUCCUGCUUGGAUUUACUUUUGGCAACCUGGUUGGAAUGUAUCUGGCUCAGAAUUACGACAUGCCAAACCUGGCUAAAAAACUUGAAGACAUUAAAAAGGACUUGGAUGCCAAGAAGAAACCCCCUAGCUCAUGAGGCCACCUCCAGCACUGCCUCCAGGAUACCCGUAUGCUGAGUCUGCUCUUCUCGAGGGCCUCCUUUACCAUCCAAACCAAAAGCUUUUGUGUUUCUUUCCAGUCUCAGACCCUGCGUUGCCUUAGAGCGCAAAUGGGGCCACAAGUUAAGAACUGUCCUGACUUUUCUAACAUCCUCACCUCCUCCCUUCCUCCUUCCAGCCGCUUGAGAGGUCCUAAGACUGGAAUUAUGGUGCUAGAUUAGUAAACGUGACCUUUAAUUAGCCGUCUCUCCCUUAUUCUUUGGGAUUUCUACUGCCUUUUUUCAAAAGACAAAUCGAUGAGUUUUGUAUAGCUGAUCAGGUAUAAAUAAUUUCAGUUUAGCAAUUAUAAUGGGUGUUUAAACAUUUGGUACUAAAUUAUGUUGUUUCAAGGUAAUUAAAAUUAAAAUCUAGAAGCCAGUUUUUGGUGAAUUAUCCUUUUAUUUUACACUGUUGUCAGUAUACCUGACAUAUAUAACUCCAUAGUUGCCAAUUUAAACCACAAUGAAUUUGCUACUCAUUAACUGAGAAACUGUAUUCUGAGAACCCCGUCAGGAGCUGGAGAAUUAAAUAUGUAAAAUAAUGGCCUUUGUCCUCAGUAGAAUUCAGAGUCUAGUAUGCUUGUGUUUCCUUAAUGAUGUAGUAUUCAAUGUGGCUUUUACCUGAAAAGAAUCAUACUUAUUUUAAGGGAUUACAGGUACAUUUGACAUUACAUGAUGGGUAAAUGACAAAUUGUCUAUAAAUGAAAUUUUAUGCCUUUUUAUUUUAAAAAAAUGUACCUUAUAACUUUAUAGUGGUUCUCCAAAGAAAACGUUUUGUUUUUCUUCUGCAAUUAGAAAUUACCGCUGUAAUUUUCAAAUGUAUAAUCAGUAAUCCGUUUUCUAAAAUUAAACAAAAAUGUUUGAAUACAUCACUUGUCCCAUGGGUCAAGAUACAAAAGUGAUUUAGAACAAAGGGCCUCUCCUACCCCUAGCUCAUCCAGAGUUCAUCUUUCUGGAGGCAGGCACUGUCAGCAGUUUACCGUAAACUUUUGAGAAAGAUUCUGUGCGUAAACAAACAUGUGCAAGGCGUUUUUACACAAACAGUAACAAAUUAUACAGAGUUUGCCCCGGCCUUUUUUUUUUUUUUUUUAAUGGGAAAAGGUAUAUAAGGAAGCAAGGAAACUUUUUCCUUUUUUGGCUGCAUAAGAUUCUACUGAAUGAAUACACCGUAAUUUACUUAAUGAGUUCCUGAUGUUUCCUGUCUUCUGCUGUUAUAGUGAUAUCGCUGAACCUAAUGUUAUUGGAUGUAUCUCUGCAAGAGAGCUUGGGCAGCUUCACUGAGAAUGCUAUUUCUGAAGACUUGAGCAGAAUCAGUAAACUGGAAGAAUUAGAGACACCUUUUUUCAGACAGCGAUGACACUGAUGCUACAUGUGAUUGUAAAAUGAAGUGAUUCUGCUUCUCUUUGAAAGCGUGGAUCUCUCACACGUGGAGAGAAGUUUUGUCCCUGUCGGUUCAUCCGGGACAAGUUAGCAUCGUAUUAUGCUUUGGCGUCUCCCCAGCGGUGCGAUCAUAGGCAGAUGGCUUAUUUUUCUGAAACUGCUGUACUGUCUAAGAGCUGGACGCAAUACCUACCUCAUAGGGCUCCCAUGAGAAAUAACUGACAUAAUGUAUGUGAUGUGUUGCACAGUGCUUUGCAGAUUUGCCCAAUAAAUAGUAGAUCUUAGUGCAAACAUGCUGCUUUUGAUGAGAAUACUUGCGUUUCUCUGCAGUCACUUUUGGAACCAGUUUAUGAACCUUGCAAAAUGUGUAAGUAUUCCGUGGUCACUCUCUUGGUUGUUGAUGAAAAUCUACAGUGUCUACUUUGAUUAUACCACCUGGCUCACGAGAUUUG